rnacentral:rRNA from 1 species
AUUGAACGCUGGCGGCAGGCCUAACACAUGCAAGUCGAGCGGAGCGGCGGACGGGUGAGUAAUGCCUAGGAAUCUGCCUGGUAGUGGGGUAUAACGUCCGGAAACGGGCGAUAAUACCGCAUAAUAUCAGAUGAGCCUAGGUCGGCUUUGCUAGUGGGGGGGGUAAAGGCCUACCAAGGUGACGAUCCGUAACUGGUCUGAGAGGGUGAUCAGUCAAACUGGAACUGAGACAAGGUCCAGACUCCUACGGGAGGCAGCAGUGGGGAAUCUUGGGCAAUGGUCGAAAGCCUGAGCCAGCAAUGCCGCGUGUGUGAAGAAGGUCUUCGGAUUGGAAAUCUCUGUAGGUUGGGAGGCGUUAUCAAUACAGUAAGCACCGGCUAACUACGUGCCAGCAGCGGCGGUAAUUC